UAGGAUAGAGGCCUACCAUGGUGGUAACGGGUAACGGGGUGUUAGGGCACGACACCGGAGAGGGAGCCUGAGAAACGGCUACCACAUCCAAGGAUGGCAGCAGGCGCGCAAAUUACCCAAUCCCGACACGGGGAGGUAGUGACAAUAAAUAACAAUACGGGGUUCUUUCGGAUCUCGUAAUUGGAAUGAGUACAAUUUAAAUCUCUUAACGAGGAACAAUUGGAGGGCAAGUCUGGUGCCAGCAGCCGCGGUAAUUCCAGCUCCAAUAGCGUAUAUUAAAGUUGUUGCAGUUAAAAAGCUCGUAGUUGAAUUUCGGGGUUAGUAGGUUGGUCAUGCCUCUGGUAUGUACUGGUCACACUGAUUCCUCCUUCCUUAUGAACCGUAAUGCCAUUAAUUUGGUGUUGCGGGGAAUUUGGACUGUUACUUUGAAAAAAUUAGAGUGUUUAAAGCAAGCUAACGCUUGAAUACAUUAGCAUGGAAUAAUGAAAUAGGACGUUCGAUCUUAUUUUGUUGGUUUCUAGGAUUGACGUAAUGAUUAAUAGGGAUAGUUGGGGCAUUAGUAUUCAAUUGUCAGAGGUGAAAUUCUUGGAUUUAUUGAAGACUAACUACUGCGAAAGCAUUUGCCAAGGAUGUUUUCAUUAAUCAAGAACGAAAGUUAGGGGAUCGAAGACGAUCAGAUACCGUCGUAGUCUUAACCAUAAACUAUGCCGACUAGGGAUCGGAUGA
rnacentral:rRNA from 1 species